rnacentral:rRNA from 1 species
ACACGACUACAUUAGAUACCCCUGUAGUCCAGGGUGUAAACGCUGCGGGCUUGGUGUUGGGGGUCCUUUGAGGGCGCCCAGUGCCGGAGAGAAGUUGUUAAGCCUGCUGCUUGGGGAGUACGUCCGCAAGGAUGAAACUUAAAGGAAUUGGCGGGGGAGCACCACAACGGGUGGAGCUUGCGGUUUAAUUGGAUUCAACGCCGGAAAUCUUACCGGGACCGACAGCAACAUGAAGGCCAGGCUGAAGACUUUGCCGGAUUAGCUG